rnacentral:rRNA from 1 species
UGGGGAAUAUUGCACAAUGGGCGCAAGCCUGAUGCAGCCAUGCCGCGUGUAUGAAGAAGGCCUUCGGGUUGUAAAGUACUUUCAGUCGGGAGGAAGGUGGUAAGGUUAAUAACCUUGGCAAUUGACGUUACCGACAGAAAAAGCACCGGCUAACUCCGUGCCAGCAGCCGCGGUAAUACGGAGGGUGCAAGCGUUAAUCGGAAUUACUGGGCGUAAAGCGCACGCAGGCGGUUGAUUGAGUCAGAUGUGAAAUCCCCGGGCUUAACCCGGGAAUUGCAUCUGAUACUGGUCAGCUAGAGUCUUGUAGAGGGGGGUAGAAUUCCAUGUGUAGCGGUGAAAUGCGUAGAGAUGUGGAGGAAUACCGGUGGCGAAGGCGGCCCCCUGGACAAAGACUGACGCUCAGGUGCGAAAGCGUGGGGAGCAAACAGG